rnacentral:rRNA from 1 species
AUUGAACGCUGGCGGCAUGCCUUACACAUGCAAGUCGAACGGCAGCACGGGAGCAAUCCUGGUGGCGAGUGGCGAACGGGUGAGUAAUACAUCGGAACGUGCCCAGUAGUGGGGGAUAGCCCGGCGAAAGCCGGAUUAAUACCGCAUACGACCUACGGGUGAAAGCGGGGGAUCGCAAGACCUCGCGCUAUCGGAGCGGC